GUAUGGUGCAAGCGUUAUCCGGAUUUACUGGGUGUAAAGGGAGCGUAGGUGGCAAGGCAAGCCAGAAGUGAAAACCCGGGGCUCAACCGCGGGAUUGCUUUUGGAACUGUCAUGCUAGAGUGCAGGAGGGGUGAGCGGAAUUCCUAGUGUAGCGGUGAAAUGCGUAGAUAUUAGGAGGAACACCGGAGGCGAAGGCGGCUCACUGGACUGUAACUGACACUGAGGCUCGAAAGCGUGGGGAGCAAACAGGAUUAGAUACCCUGGUAGUCCACGCGGUAAACGAUGAAUACUAGAUGUCGGGUAGCAUAGCUACUCGGUGUCGUCGCAAACGCAAUAAGUAUUCCACCUGGGGAGUACGUUCGCAAGAAUGAAACUCAAAGGAAUUGACGGAA
rnacentral:rRNA from 1 species